ensembl:rRNA 5S_rRNA 5S ribosomal RNA
GUCUACGCCCAUACCACCCUGAACAUGCCCGAUCUCGUUCUGGAGCUGGAAAGCUAAACAGGUUGGGCAUGGUUAGUAUUUGAUGGAGAAA